rnacentral:lncRNA from 1 species
CUAGCUGCGAGUUCUUGGGUAAUUAUUUAAUUGCCGUAAGCAUCAGGUUUUCUGUUAGUGCAAAUAUUGGUAUUAAUACUAUCUUACAGAGUUCUUGGGAAGACUCAAGGAGGUAAUCCAUGCAGUCAAUGAAAGGUAAAUGAGGUAGUGCCUCACCUCAGGUCUGACACAAACUUGCUCUUCCUUGAGAAACCACGUUCUCAGGACCAGGAAGUCAAGGCUGCGUUCCUUCCGGUUAGCUUCUGGGGUUGGAAAUAC